rnacentral:lncRNA from 1 species
UCGACUGUUAAGUGCGCGAGCGUUUUUUCGUCGUUUUCGGUGGUUUUGGACGAUGUUUCGUCCGAUAUGUUCAGGUAAGUCGUAUAAGUUUUUGGACUAGUCCAACGAAGAGCUUCUUCGUUAAGUUUUUAUUUACUUUUCAGCUCACAGUGAGCCUGAAAAGUGGUGGUGUUUUGCUGCUAGGUUCUGAAUCUUCCCGAGGAAGAUCAGCCUGCACAAACCCACAAAUUAUCCCGGGAUGAACCAUGGUUGGCCAUCUUGACACAGCAAGAUGAGCACCAGGCUUGGCACUUCUGGCCGGUAUUUUGGUUGGCAGAGUCCCCUCACUGCCGCUCCACAGUCGAUGCUCGGACGCAAGGGCACUACGGAUAACCCCUUGGUCGUCUCAUCGGACUGCCAGCGCAGCUAUGGACCUCCAACAUAAGCAUAAAGGUGUUUAGUAACGACUAACCUCCUCCGCAGAUGCUCAUCGGGUCUUCGGGUCGAACCGACAGCGAGUUCCGAGGGAAACCAAUGUUUAACCCCUCACCAACUGCUGCGGUUAACCGACCCUCGGUCGACUUACAUCGUUAGAGUUAGUCAGUGUUACUAAACUCUUUAUUGAUUAUGAAUAAAGAUUCAUUUUAUUUUCA